CCUACGGGGGGCAGCAGUGAGGAAUAUUGGUCAAUGGACGUGAGUCUGAACCAGCCAAGUAGCGUGAAGGAUGACUGCCCUAUGGGUUGUAAACCUCUUUUAUAUGGGAAUAAAAUGCUCCACGUGUGGGGUUUUGUAUGUACCAUAUGAAUAAGGAUCGGCUAACUCCGUGCCAGCAGCCGCGGUAAUACGGAGGAUCCGAGCGUUAUCCGGAUUUAUUGGGUUUAAAGGGUGCGUAGGUGGAUUGUUAAGUCAGUUGUGAAAGUUUGCGGCUCAACCGUAAAAUUGCAGUUGAAACUGGCAGGCGUGAGUACAGUAGAGGUAGGCGGAAUUCGUGGUGUAGCGGUGAAAUGCUUAGAUAUCACGAAGAACUCCGAUUGCGAAGGCAGCUCACUGGGCUGCAACUGACACUGAGGCUCGAAAGUGUGGGUAUCAAACAGGAUUAGAUACCCGAGUAGUC
rnacentral:rRNA from 1 species